rnacentral:rRNA from 1 species
UACGGGGGGAGCAAGCGUUGUUCGGAUUUACUGGGCGUAAAGGGCGCGUAGGCGGCCACCGCAAGUCGACUGUGAAAUCUCCGGGCUUAACCCGGAAAGGUCAGCCGAUACUGCGGGGCUAGAGUGCAGAAGGGGCAACUGGAAUUCUCGGUGUAGCGGUGAAAUGCGUAGAUAUCGAGAGGAACACCUGCGGCGAAGGCGGGUUGCUGGGCUGACACUGACGCUGAGGCGCGAAAGCUAGGGAGCGAACGGG